rnacentral:rRNA from 1 species
UGGGGAAUCUUGCACAAUGGAGGAAACUCUGAUGCAGCGACGCCGCGUGAGCGAAGAAGCCUUUCGGGGUGUAAAGCUCUUACGCCAGGGACGAUAAUGACGGUACCUGGAGAAGCAGCUGCGGCUAACUACGUGCCAGCAGCCGCGGUAAUACGUAGGCAGCAAGCGUUGUUCGGAAUUACUGGGCGUAAAGGGUGCGUAGGCGGCGCUCUAAGUUUGGUGUGAAAUCUCCCGGCUUAACUGGGAGGGUGCACUGAAAACUGGGGCGCUCGAGUAUGGGAGAGGAAAGCGGAAUUCCUGGUGUAGCGGUGAAAUGCAUAGAGAUCAGGAGGAACACCUGCGGUGCAGACGGCUUUCUGGACCAUCACUGACGCUGAGGCACGAAAGCGUGGGUAGCAAACA